GGCCAGGCCGCAUCUCGGAAGGUUUUGUUAACCGUCUCUCGUUGCGCAAGCGACACACUGGUGCAUGUUUGUUUGAUUGAACGAGAGCCUGCAAUUGCUCGCUUGAAUGGACUCAUCUAACGUGCCGCGCAGCUUCAUACGCUGCAUGUGAGUGGGCUGCGUCGAUCGGGGCGGUCCUGAAUAAGACUGGAGCAAGCGUCCAUGCGC
rnacentral:misc_RNA from 1 species